GACGAACGCUGGCGGCAGGCCUAACACAUGCAAGUCGAGCGGAGACUUCGGGUCUAGCGGCGGACGUGGAGGUACCAAGUGGUAAUGUACCCGUCUCUACCGAGUCGCCCUGGGAAACUGGGAGUCAUACCACAUAGGCUCAUACGGGGAAGGAUUUCUCGGGGCAGGAUCAGCCCGCGUUGGUUUAGGUGGUUGGUGGGGUAAUGGCCUACCAAGCGGACGUUGCAUAGCUGGUGUGAGAGGAUGCUCAGCAACACUGGGACUGAGACACGGCCCAGACUCCGACGGGAGGGAGCAGUAGGGAGUCUUAGGGGAUGGGGGCAACUGUGAUCUAGCCAUGCCGCGUGAGAGAUGAAGGCGGUAGGGUUGUAAAGCUCUUUCAGCUGGGAAGAGAGUGACGGUAACAGCAGAAGAAGCCCCGGCUAACUCCGUG
rnacentral:rRNA from 1 species